ensembl:lncRNA
AGCUGAAAAAUGAGUCUCAUAAUGGAAGGUGUCUGGCGUCCUUAUCAAGAGCUGCUCCUUGUGCUACCAACAACGUUCACACACAGCCUGUGAUGUCUGGGACACUGAAGUGUUAUAUGAAUUAGAAUUUCCCAGGACCAUUCAACCAUACAGAUAUUGAGCAAACAGAAGAGAUAGUUAUAUUAGCUAUGGGUAUCAACAUACUCUCAAGAAUGUGUGAAACAGCUGGAUUGAGUACAGUAUGUAUAGAGCUGAGAACAGGAACUGCUAAUAUGCUUUUUAAAUCUAAGCUAGAUUUUGUCAAAAAUGAUAAAUCCCGUGGGACACCGAUAUGAAUCCUGGGUUUCUUUCAGCUUCUGGAAGAUCUAGUUGAUUUUUUUAAAACUGGCGUUUAAAAAUUCCCUGAAAUGGAUCCUACAUACUUGAAAAAUCAGUGUAAAGGGGAUUGCUGGAGCUUUCCCAGGCUCUGUUAGUGUUAGCAAUAUGAAAAUUCCCAGUGGAUUUCUCCCAUUACAUUUCUAGAUAAAUCUGGAAAUUCCCACAUGGAAUUAAUUGUCCAGAACAAGUGUAAGUUGGGAUGGAUAUGAACCUCAUAAGAGAUGGCCAUUUUCUAAACCUUAGGAAGAAAACUAGUUUACUUAUUGACCUCUUUAUAUAUCUUGAUCAUGUGGAUUGCCCAUAAUUUGCAGUAAUGGUCUACAUCUCAAAUGGAGUAGUCUUCAUUGGCUUUACUAGGAUGACUUGGUGAGGAAGCUCCUUGUGUGAUUAAGGGAAUGGGUGGUAUGGGGGUGGAUGAUGUAGAGGCAAACAACACAGCAGAAAAGACCAGGAGACAGAUAAAAAAUCAGUAGCUUGGAUGCUAAACUGACAUGGAAUAUGAGGACAGGCCAAAUUACGUGCAAUGGUAAGGAUCUGUAUGGAAAAUGAACUAAUUCUUAGAAUUAUGAAGUGACAAAGUCAUGUCUGCACCAAGUUAAAGAAAGUGAGGAAUAAACUUCUUUCAAUAAAACUGUCAUUUUGAGAAGUGCAUGAUAGGGCAGACAGGGAGUGAAAAUAUCUCAAUGCCAAUUACACUGAAUGUCAAAUGGAAAAGGCUCGUUGAGCACAGUGAAGACAGUUAAUUUUUGUAACGUUUCACCAGGAAAACUUGACAGGAGGUGGACAGUAAUUAAUGUAAAUUGUGAGGAAAAGCCCAGGAAAUCAAAUGUUAGCAGCCUCCACAGUGAAACAAAAUGAGUUAAUCAUAAUUAUCAUUAUUACAAUGUGUAUCAGAGGAUUUAAUAAUUGUUAGUUAAUUGCCACCAGUACCAUCCUAACUUUCUCCUAUGCAUUUGCAUGUUUUCCACCUCCUAUUUGGUCUCAUUAUUUUUAAAUAGAUGCUGUCAACUUGAAAUCCAAGCUUUUAAAAAAUAAAUUAAAAGCUGUUUCUUUCCUUCUGCCAAUUAUGACUUUGCAGGUACAUACUGCUAUUUUAAACAUGUUUUUUCUUCCUCAUGUAUAAAAGCCACAGAAAGAAAAUGGACUGCUCUGAACAGUGACCAUGAUUUUUAAAAAAUUGCCACCAAAGAUCUGAAAUAAACAAACUGGAAAAUUUCUUUCAUUGUGGUCUCUUCCAGGGCUCAUAAUCUCAGAAAUGAAUAUGGUGGCUGAUGAGAACUGUACUUUUGGACAAACGUAAUGCAGGGUUACAGAUGAGAAUCAAAGCUUCAGCUACAUUUCUCUCAUAUAUCUUACAAGAGCUGCAUUUUACAGGAGAGGUUUUCUGGGUUUCUUAUCAGUGGGGAAUACACCUCUGAGAAAUGCAGGAUUUGCUGCAGCAGAUACCCUUGUCUUGAAUUUAAAAUGAAAAUUGAAACUUCUGUAAGGUUAUGUUUUGAUUCUAGGGAACAACAGUGCCAGAGACCUUUGAAUCAUUGGCAUUACUCAUUUUAGAGAAGGACCUACUACAUCCAAGUCAGUAAUUUUUCUGAUGCUCAACAGUGCACAGUCUGUUAUUUGUGUUUGUCAUCCUUUAUACAUGACCACAGCUUUCAUUAUUUAUACUUCUAUCAUGUCCUUUGUAUACAUGUACUUUAUUACGUCCUGGAGACAAAAUAAACUUCUUUUUAAAACC